rnacentral:rRNA from 1 species
GUCCACGCUGUAAACGAUGGAUACUAGGUGUGCGGGGACUGACCCCCUGCGUGCCGCAGCUAACGCAAUAAGUAUCCCACCUGGGGAGUACGAUCGCAAGGUUGAAACUCAAAGGAAUUGACGGGGGCCCGCACAAGCGGUGGAUUAUGUGGUUUUAAUUCGAUGCAACGCGAAGAACCUUACAAGGGCUUGACAUCCUGCUAACGAGGUAGAGAUACGUCAGGUGCCCUUCGGGGAAAGCAGAGACAGGUGGUGCAUGGUUGUCGU